CGUGAACGAACGGAGGAGGUGGGACGACGUCAAGUCAUCAUGGCCCUUAUGUCCUGGGCUACACACGUGCUACAAUGGCCGGUACAGAGCGCAGCGAGGCCGCGAGGCGGAGCGAAUCGCUUAAAGCCGGUCCCAGUACGGAUUGGAGUCUGCAACCCGACUCCAUGAAGUUGGAAUCGCUAGUAAUCGCGCAUCAGCAUGGCGCGGUGAAUACGUUCCCGGGCCUU
rnacentral:rRNA from 1 species